AAUUCGCCCUUAGAGUUUGAUCCUGGCUCAGAGUGAACGCUGGCGGUAGGCCUAACACAUGCAAGUCGAACGGCAGCACAGAGGAGCUUGCUCCUUGGGUGGCGAGUGGCGGACGGGUGAGGAAUACAUCGGAAUCUACUCUGUCGUGGGGGAUAACGUAGGGAAACUUACGCUAAUACCGCAUACGACCUACGGGUGAAAGCAGGGGAUCUUCGGACCUUGCGCGAUUGAAUGAGCCGAUGUCGGAUUAGCUAGUUGGCGGGGUAAAGGCCCACCAAGGCGACGAUCCGUAGCUGGUCUGAGAGGAUGAUCAGCCACACUGGAACUGAGACACGGUCCAGACUCCUACGGGAGGCAGCAGUGGGGAAUAUUGGACAAUGGGCGCAAGCCUGAUCCAGCCAUACCGCGUGGGUGAAGAAGGCCUUCGGGUUGUAAAGCCCUUUUGUUGGGAAAGAAAUCCAGCCGGCUAAUACCUGGUUGGGAUGAC
rnacentral:rRNA from 1 species